rnacentral:rRNA from 1 species
UACGGGGGGGGCAAGCGUUGUUCGGAAUUACUGGGCGUAAAGGGCUCGUAGGUGGCCAACUAAGUCAGACGUGAAAUCCCUCGGCUUAACCGGGGAGCUGCGUCUGAUACUGGAUGGCUUGAGUUCGGGAGAGGGAUGCGGAAUUCCAGGUGUAGCGGUGAAAUGCGUAGAUAUCGUAAGGAAGACCAGUGGCGAAGGCGGGUCUCUGGACAGUUCCUGACGCUGAGGCACGAAGGUCAGGGGAGCAAACGGG